AACAGGAUUAGAUACCCUGUAGUCCACGCCGUAAACGAUGUCGACUUGGAGGUUGUUCCCUUGAGGAGUGGCUUCCGGAGCUAACGCGUUAAGUCGACCGCCUGGGGAGUACGGCCGCAAGGUUAAAACUCAAAUGAAUUGACGGGGGCCCGCACAAGCGGUGGAGCAUGUGGUUUAAUUCGAUGCAACGCGAAGAACCUUACCUACUCUUGACAUCCACGGAAUUUGGCAGAGAUGCCUUAGUGCCUUCGGGAACCGUGAGACAGGUGCUGCAUGGCUGUCGUCAGCUCGUGUUGUGAAAUGUUGGGUUAAGUCCCGCAACGAGCGCAACCCUUAUCCUUUGUUGCCAGCGAUUCGGUCGGGAACUCAAAGGAGACUGCCGGUGAUAAACCGGAGGAAGGUGGGGAUGACGUCAAGUCAUCAUGGCCCUUACGAGUAGGGCUACACACGUGCUACAAUGGCGCAUACAAAGAGAAGCGACCUCGCGAGAGCAAGCGGACCUCACAA
rnacentral:rRNA from 1 species